ACCUUGCUGACGAGUGCCAAGCAGCACGAAACCCGGGUCCGGGGU
rfam:Schistosoma margrebowiei strain Zambia genome assembly, scaffold: SMRZ_contig0008480